UGCAUUGUUACAAAAUUUGUGAAUCAGGAACCAACUUUUCCCUCUGUGUUUGGAAGUUUACAUUUCUGAAGCAUUUCUGUACUAUUUCAAAGUUUCUUGUGCAUGUAAGAUUCUGGUCUUAGAAAUACUUGUGCUGACAAGCUCUUUUUUACCUCUCAGGAAGUAGCUAACUUACAACCAUCGCAUGAGAACAGGAGCACAAGCAGCACUUCCUGGCUUCAAGAAUUCAGGGAAAGGAGAGACCAGAGGCUGAAAGGCAUGUUUAUUCUAUUAUGUUCCAUUCCAAAUCAAGUUAGUAUCUGCGGUGGUGCUUGGGCUGAGUUGCCCACAAGGGAGCUGCAUUUUGAAGAUGGAAUUCGACUUCCACGUGUUGACCGUAUCUACACACGCAAACACAAGUAG
rnacentral:lncRNA from 1 species